rnacentral:rRNA from 1 species
UACGUAUGGGGCGAGCGUUGUCCGGAUUUACUGGGCGUAAAGGGCCCGCAGGCGGUGCGGCGCGUUUCGCGUGACAGCGGAGGGCUUAACUCUCCGAGGAUGCGAAAGACGGCGGCACUUGAGGGCCAGAGAGGGACACGGAAUUCCGGGUGGAGUGGUGAAAUGCGUAGAGAUCCGGAGGAACACCGAAGGCGAAGGCAGUGUCCUGGCUGGUGACUGACGCUGAGGUGCGAAAGCUAGGGGAGCGAACGGG